rnacentral:sRNA from 1 species
CUGAGUUUCUGGAAUCGGGGUUCUGUGCUGGGACUGACUGCUCUUGUGGAGAAUUGUGUGUCAGUGGGAGAGGCCCUCCUGAUUCUGGGGCCUGCCAGGAUGGGGCCCCUGAGGCACAGCCCAGGCCCUGGGGGGCAACGGCUACUGCUGCCCUCCAUGCUGCUAGCACUGCUGCUCCUGCUGGCUCCAUCCCCAGGCCACGCCACUCGGGUAGUGUACAAGGUGCCGGAGGAACAGCCACCCAACACCCUCAUUGGGAGCCUCGCAGCCGACUAUGGUUUUCCAGAUGUGGGGCACCUGUACAAGCUAGAGGUGGGUGCCCCGUACCUUCGCGUGGAUGGCAAGACAGGUGACAUUUUCACCACCGAGACCUCCAUCGACCGUGAGGGGCUCCGUGAAUGCCAGAACCAGCUCCCUGGUGAUCCCUGCAUCCUGGAGUUUGAGGUAUCUAUCACAGACCUCGUGCAGAAUGGCAGCCCCCGGCUGCUAGAGGGCCAGAUAGAAGUACAAGACAUCAAUGACAACACACCCAACUUCGCCUCACCAGUCAUCACUCUGGCCAUCCCUGAGAACACCAACAUCGGCUCACUCUUCCCCAUCCCGCUGGCUUCAGACCGUGAUGCUGGUCCCAACGGUGUGGCAUCCUAUGAGCUGCAGGCUGGGCCUGAGGCCCAGGAGCUAUUUGGGCUGCAGGUGGCAGAGGACCAGGAGGAGAAGCAACCACAGCUCAUUGUGAUGGGCAACCUGGACCGUGAGCGCUGGGACUCCUACGACCUCACCAUCAAGGUGCAGGAUGGCGGCAGCCCCCCACGCGCCAGCAGUGCCCUGCUGCGUGUCACCGUGCUUGACACCAAUGACAACGCCCCCAAGUUUGAGCGGCCCUCCUAUGAGGCCGAACUAUCUGAGAAUAGCCCCAUAGGCCACUCGGUCAUCCAGGUGAAGGCCAAUGACUCAGACCAAGGUGCCAAUGCAGAAAUCGAAUACACAUUCCACCAGGCGCCCGAAGUUGUGAGGCGUCUUCUUCGACUGGACAGGAACACUGGACUUAUCACUGUUCAGGGCCCAGUGGACCGUGAGGACCUAAGUACCCUGCGCUUCUCAGUGCUUGCUAAGGACCGAGGCACCAACCCCAAGAGUGCCCGUGCCCAGGUGGUUGUGACCGUGAAGGACAUGAAUGACAAUGCCCCCACCAUUGAGAUCCGGGGCAUAGGGCUAGUGACUCAUCAAGAUGGGAUGGCUAACAUCUCAGAGGAUGUGGCAGAGGAGACAGCUGUGGCCCUGGUGCAGGUGUCUGACCGAGAUGAGGGAGAGAAUGCAGCUGUCACCUGUGUGGUGGCAGGUGAUGUGCCCUUCCAGCUGCGCCAGGCCAGUGAGACAGGCAGUGACAGCAAGAAGAAGUAUUUCCUGCAGACUACCACCCCGCUAGACUACGAGAAGGUCAAAGACUACACCAUUGAGAUUGUGGCUGUGGACUCUGGCAACCCCCCACUCUCCAGCACCAACUCCCUCAAGGUGCAGGUGGUGGACGUCAAUGACAACGCACCUGUCUUCACUCAGAGUGUCACUGAGGUCGCCUUCCCGGAAAACAACAAGCCUGGUGAAGUGAUUGCUGAGAUCACUGCCAGUGAUGCUGACUCUGGCUCUAAUGCUGAGCUGGUUUACUCUCUGGAGCCUGAGCCGGCUGCUAAGGGCCUCUUCACCAUCUCACCCGAGACUGGAGAGAUCCAGGUGAAGACAUCCCUGGAUCGGGAACAGCGGGAGAGCUAUGAGUUGAAGGUGGUGGCAGCUGACCGGGGCAGUCCUAGCCUCCAGGGCACAGCCACUGUCCUUGUCAAUGUGCUGGACUGCAAUGACAAUGACCCCAAAUUUAUGCUGAGUGGCUACAACUUCUCAGUGAUGGAGAACAUGCCAGCACUGAGUCCAGUGGGCAUGGUGACUGUCAUUGAUGGAGACAAGGGGGAGAAUGCCCAGGUGCAGCUCUCAGUGGAGCAGGACAACGGUGACUUUGUUAUCCAGAAUGGCACAGGCACCAUCCUAUCCAGCCUGAGCUUUGAUCGAGAGCAACAAAGCACCUACACCUUCCAGCUGAAGGCAGUGGAUGGUGGCGUCCCACCUCGCUCAGCUUACGUUGGUGUCACCAUCAAUGUGCUGGACGAGAAUGACAACGCACCCUAUAUCACUGCCCCUUCUAACACCUCUCACAGGCUGCUGACCCCCCAGACACGUCUUGGUGAGACGGUCAGCCAGGUGGCAGCCGAGGACUUUGACUCUGGUGUCAAUGCUGAGCUGAUCUACAGCAUUGCAGGUGGCAACCCUUAUGGACUCUUCCAGAUUGGGUCACAUUCAGGUGCCAUCACCCUGGAGAAGGAGAUUGAGCGGCGCCACCAUGGGCUACACCGCCUGGUGGUGAAGGUCAGUGACCGCGGCAAGCCCCCACGCUAUGGCACAGCCUUGGUCCAUCUUUAUGUCAAUGAGACUCUGGCCAACCGCACGCUGCUGGAGACCCUCCUGGGCCACAGCCUGGACACGCCGCUGGAUAUUGACAUUGCUGGGGAUCCAGAAUAUGAGCGCUCCAAGCAGCGUGGCAACAUUCUCUUUGGUGUGGUGGCUGGUGUGGUGGCCGUGGCCUUGCUCAUCGCCCUGGCGGUUCUUGUGCGCUACUGCCGACAGCGGGAGGCCAAAAGUGGCUACCAGGCUGGUAAGAAGGAGACCAAGGACCUGUAUGCCCCCAAGCCCAGUGGCAAGGCCUCCAAGGGAAACAAAAGCAAAGGCAAGAAGAGCAAGUCCCCAAAGCCCGUGAAGCCAGUGGAGGACGAGGAUGAGGCCGGGCUGCAGAAGUCCCUCAAGUUCAACCUGAUGAGCGAUGCCCCUGGGGACAGUCCCCGCAUCCAUCUGCCCCUCAACUACCCACCAGGCAGCCCUGACCUGGGCCGCCACUAUCGCUCUAACUCCCCACUGCCUUCCAUCCAGCUGCAGCCCCAGUCACCCUCAGCCUCCAAGAAGCACCAGGUGGUACAGGACCUGCCACCUGCAAACACAUUCGUGGGCACCGGGGACACCACGUCCACGGGCUCUGAGCAGUACUCCGACUACAGCUACCGCACCAACCCCCCCAAAUACCCCAGCAAGCAGGUAGGCCAGCCCUUUCAGCUCAGCACACCCCAGCCCCUACCCCACCCCUACCACGGAGCCAUCUGGACCGAGGUGUGGGAGUGAUGGAGCAGGUUUACUGUGCCUGCCCGUGUGGGGGGCCAGCCUGAGCCAGCAGUGGGAGGUGGGGCCUUAGUAAUAACACCGCUGCCUCAUCCAGGCACAGGGAU